UCACUGGCCAGUGACAACAAAAAGAAAUACAUAUUUUUCCUCUCCUUUUCUGGACCCUUCUCAGAACAACAUGAGACAGAAAAGUCACAUGAAGAGGAGACGAGGGUGGGGGAAGACUACUAUAGAGCUGCCUUUCAGGAAUAUUGGCAUUAAAGGAGCAUCAACAAAAUCCUGCAAAGUCACCACAUUCAUGUGCCCUCGGACUGGUCUGAGUGGUCCAAAUACCUGGUACCCAAAGCUCCAUUUUCUGAAAAUGGCACUGAUUUCAGUUAACUUGUUGCCACAAGUUGCAGCAGUUUGGUGAGUUUAUUUGAAUGGUAGUUCCAUGUACUCAUGUCUUCAUCCUGAGGUAGCUGUCAAAGCUAGCUGAAAUGGUUCCAGUCUAAAUAGAUUAUGUUUCUUCUGUCCUGAAGAGAGACAGCUAAGGGGAAUAGAAAAAUAUCCAUAAAAUCAGGAGUGACAUGGAGAAAGGGAACAGGUACUGAAUGAACAUGCACUCUCUCAAAACAAGAACCAGAGGGUAUCAUACAAAACCAUCAUAAAAAUAGGUUCAAAACAAUCUAAAGGAGGUCAUUCGUCAUAAAUGCGUAUUGCAGCCAGGGAAAUCCUUGUUCAGGACGUUGUGGAUGGCGGAAGCUGAGACAGGCUAAAACUGGAAAAAUUGCAUUAAAGAAAAGUGUACAAAGAUCUGCUAAAAAGAAAGAUGCUGCCUUUGUUUUAUGAAAACCCUGAACCACAAACUGCUGUAAGCAAGAGCGUUUGGAAUGCUACCACUGUGCUUGCCCCUGUGCUGCUGUAAAUGAGGCACUAGGCUUGUUUGUUCUUAUAUUCUUAUAAGAUUUUUUUGGACAAGACAAAAGAUUGCUGGGAGGAAAAACAAGGCUAGGAGAUGAUGUUAUUGAAUGCUUUAGGUAUUCUGAUAAAAAA